GGCAGGCUGGGGUGGGGUGGUAAAGGAGGAAAGACUAUAUCUAAGUUAAGCAAUGACAGAGACUUGAAAACGGGAUUUGGGGCGGGGGCUGGGGCUCAGUGGCAGAGUGCUUGCCUAGUGGGUGCAGAGCCUUGCGUCCCAUCCCUACCCAGCACCAGCUAUGCAAAACAGAAAGGUGCUUUAGACCGUACCGCCACUCUGGGGCGGGGCUGGACGGAGGCCAGGAGGGACGGCAGCGGGCAAGGCCGGGUGGGGCCCUGGACUGGUUCUGGCCUAGGCUGGAGGGCAGCGGAGGGGGCGUGACGGGGGCGUGGCGUCCCCCUGCCCCGCCCCCGCAUUGGCAGUUGCUGUGCAGGAAAGAGGAGCCUGCCCCAGGGGCUGGGGAGCUGGGACAACCUGUUCUGGAGGCGCAGCCCGGAAGCGCCUGUGCAGGUGGCCUGGUCUCCGGGUUCCUCUUUGCCUCUGAAGUCUGGAAGGGGAAUUCAGCAAGAAGGACGCAGUCUGGAGCUGGCUCAACCUCCUCAUAGGGGCCUGUGCGAGCAGGGCUUUUCUGUCCCUCCUGGGCGCCUUCCUCCUCCUCUGUCCUACCGGAGCUCUGGACCCUGACCCGGGCUAUCGCCCUCUGCAGAAGCCUGAGCUGUGGGCCUGGUGUGAGCCCACUUCUCCAGCGACAUCUCAGGGGCUGGUGUCUCUCUGGCCAUGCGGGUCCCAGGGCCUGGUCCGUGACCUCGGCAGCCUCCAGAUCCGCCCCCCAACCAUUGGUGGGGAUCUGGUGGUCGGGAGCAGCUCCUUGUGCAAGGGAAGUGAGCAGACUGAGAAACCGUGGUCCCACCCCAACUCUCGAAGCCAGAUAUCCACCUGAGAUUUUCCCCUCUUGGAUCUUUCCUGCUUAACCACACUUGAAACACCCUCUUUGCGUGUGGAAAACGGCUUUCGCGGUCCCCGCAGAUAGCAGGUGAGAGCCGUUACACGGCUGGGCUGGGCUCGUUUUAGGGAAGUAGCUUUUUGUUUUGUUUUUUUUUUAAGCUCUGACAACCAGAAGCCUCUCUCAGGUGGAGCCAUGGCACAAACGUCGUGAACAAAGGCCACUUGUGGGUCUGUGCGGAACUCUGCCGUCUCCCGUUUCUACAGAAACUGCUUGUAGGUGGGCGGCCCGGCGAGCACGCUUCCCCAUUUCCAUCCGUCCGGUUCUUCUCGCACCUAGACCUGUGGCUGCUCACUUGAUAAAGCCCAACGGUUAGGGGAAGUCACCGUCAUCGCAGCCCUGGGCUUCAGGAACCAAGUCCUCACCCUCUGCCCCUGCGCCCUUUCAAAAUAACCUCUGCUCAGGGGCCCAGCUGGCCGAGGGCACUGGGGACUGUCCUGGAGGUGGGGACCUCAGAUGAGCCGCGGGGACUGUUGCCAUGGAGACUAUCCAUCACGACGGAAGCCCGGGGGAGGGGCUGGGCCGGAGAACGCGAGGAAAUCACCUGCUUUUCAAUAACUUGUUGGCAUGAGAGCCUCUCCGGCUUUGGUUGCUGGGUCUCCCUGAGCUAAGCUAGAAUGGGAUGGAUCAAAGAUCUAAAUAUUAAAACAGAAACUCUUAACGCGCUGGAAGAUCAAAUAGGCAAGACUCUCUCGAAGACACAGCCACGUAGGUGAGGCCUUUCUGAACAGAACUCUAACUGCACAAAAAAUAACUUCAAAGGUCAACGAAUGGGGUCUCAGUAGAUUAAAAGCCUUCAGCACAGCAAAGGAAACAGCCAACAGAGGGAGGAAACAGCCCGCAGAAUGGGAAGAAAGUUUUGCCAGUUACUCUUUGAACAGAGCAGUAACAUACAACUAUAAAUAUAAAGAACUACAGGGAAGGGUGGAGGGGUUGAAGGGAGGCCAGGGGAAUGGGGGGAAGACCAAGAAUGGAAAGGUGCAAAUUUACCAUUAUGAAUGUCAUUAUAUUGGAAAGAAGUAAAAAGAAAAUCAGCCUCCUCAAAGUAACAGAGGCAACCAAAAUGAACAGACAAUUGUCAGAAAAGUGCAACGGUGAAUAAAUGUAUGAAAAAACAUUCAGCAUCUCCAGCCAUCAGCGAAGUGCAAAUUACAACAACACGGAGACUCCAUCUCACCCCAGGAAGAACGGCCACCACCAAGACAUCGAAUGAGCACCAAUGCUGGUGGGGCUGUGGGGGACAGGAGCCCUCCCACCUGGCCAGUGGGCGUGUAAGUCAGUGUGGACACCGGUGUGGAGAUUCCUCAGGAAGCCAAAGCUAGAAAUUUCCAUUUAACCCACCCAUUCCCCUUCCGGAAGAGUUAAAGACGGUGAUCCAUGUGCACUCACAUCUGCAGCAGCAUGAUUCAUAAUAACUACAUCUUGGAAGCAGCCUGCA